rnacentral:rRNA from 1 species
UGGCGAACGGGUGAGUAACGCGUGAGGAACCUGCCUCAAAGAGGGGGACAACAGUUGGAAACGACUGCUAAUACCGCAUAAGCCCACAGGUCGGCAUCGACCAGAGGGAAAAGGAGCAAUCCGCUUUGAGAUGGCCUCGCGUCCGAUUAGCUAGUUGGUGAGGUAACGGCCCACCAAGGCGACGAUCGGUAGCCGGACUGAGAGGGUGACCGGCCACAUUGGGACUGAGACACGGCCCAA